rnacentral:rRNA from 1 species
CACGUAGGUGGGAAUAUAAGUCAAAUGUGAAAACCCCGAGCUUAACUCGGGUCGUGCAUUUGAGACUGUAUUUCUUGAAUGUCCUAGGGGUUAGUGGAAUUCCAGGUGUAGGAGUGAAAUCCGUAGAUAUCUGGAGGAACAUCGGAGGCGAAGGCGGCUAACUGGGGGAACAUUGACACUGAGGUGCGAAAGCGUGGGUAGCAAACA